UUGCUUUUUCUGUUUCCUUUGGUACUUGUGGCAUUCAUCUAUCUUGUCUUUUUGCCUGGUAACACCUUUACUAACCGGUGCUGUACACUUGAAGGGUUAUCGCAACUUUCAGCUGUGCUAACUGGUAAGUGCUGUCUUACACAAAUGUAUCUGGAAGGCUAAAAUAAUGAUGACUUCUCCUCUUGCCACUCAUGUCUGAAGUCACAGUGUUGUCAUAAAAUACAAACACUGUAUUUAUGUUAAGUUUAACUGGAGCUAGAGAAUGCUGAAAAACGCCCAAACUAAAAAGCAGAACAUUUGCAAACACUGGGACUGAAAUGCUUUUAUUAAUGAAUGCCUGAAGCGUAGGCUAUUACAAUUCAAUCUCAUUUAUAAAAUACAGUUCAUUGAAAUGUAAUCAUAAAUGUAAUUUAUUUCUGUGAACAGUCAAGACAACAUGGAAGUUUAACUAAUGUUUGUGUAACAGGCGCAUUUUCACUACUCUGCUCUAAAAGAGCGCAAGUAAAUUUAAUAUUACAGAGGUUACAUUAAUAUCAACACAGUAAUGUAUGCGCUAUAAAGUUUUUUCUUUUUUCUUGGUGCUGGGGUAUAGUCUAUAUAAAGAAACAAAGACAACAGAGCUUUAUGUUCCAGUCCAGCUGUAUAGCGUCUGAAGGUUCCACACAGCAGGAUUUUGUCAAAUAAAAUCUCUCACAAGUAGAAUUAUUAAACACACAGCAUUAGUCAAACAGUCAAGUCAGAGAGGAUUUUAAUCUUCAGUGAUUUGAAAAUCCCUGGAGACUGCUGAUUGGAUUGAGGUUAAACUGUAAAAGGAGGCUGUAACACAUACAGAAACUGAUUUCUGAAGGUUGUUUUAAAGAGAGUUAAAAUAAAAGCUCCUGUUCCAGACUCUGUUUGCUAUACAUAUAAAUUCUGAGUCCAAGAUACUGCAUCGUUUGCCAAAUUAAUUUAUUUGGGUAUUACAGGUUAUUUCUUAGAUCUGUUUAUAACUGUGUUCAGUAAUAACUACAUUUACGUUGGCUAUUGAGCAUUGUCAUUAUAAAUUCCAUUUUCAAGUAUUGAAAACUAGUUAAAUUAAUUCCCAUUGAGCUUAGACAUCUGAUGGUGGUUAUUUAAAGGGAAUUAUGUUUGUUUUAGUGUAUGCGAAUGUAAUUUUGAAAGUUCUGAUUUGAUACGUAAGAGAAUGAAAUUGCAGCAGUUAGGAUUUUUUGGACUAGUCCAUCUGUGUGUAUCACUCCUGGAAGAUAGAAGUGCUUCUUACAGGAGUGUUUCUAUCUGUGUAUCUGAUGCUUCAGAUUCAGAGUGAUUCAUGGCAUGGUUGUUCCUCGCUAUCAGUGUGACUGCCAGGUGAUACAGAUAGAGACAUCUGCAUUAUCAAGCUACACUGGAAACAAUGGACCAUGUUAGGACCAUACUUCUAUGCAGAACAGCCUUCCUAUGGAGUAGAUGGGGCCUUAAUGUGAAACGGCUCAUAUGAAUGUGAUGAAGCUCCAUUGGUAAUGCCUUUAACAUGUGUGUCCAUAUUAAAAUUGCCAAAGUCAAUUUUAUACAUUGUUAUGACACUAAAAAUAUAUUUACUGUACAGCAGUGACUCCAUUUUAUUAUAACACCUCAUAAGUUUCUUAUAAACAAUACAUGGAUUUUGUUAGAGACAUGCUGAUAGCAGUAUUUAUUUAGCUUCAUUGCCAGGCUGUUCGAGUUUGAAUUGAUUUUUGAUUCAGGGACUUUAACAUCUACUUGCAGUUUUCAUAUUGCCUGGUCCUUAGUUCCUUCCCAUGCAGAAAGUAUUUGUCCGAAGGCAGGGUAGAUGUGUGUAUACGUGGGCAAUGGUGUAGGGCUGUGAGUUCUUCUACAGGUCAAAGAGACACGAGAAAAAACGUGCACACUUUUAUGAAAUCUUGUCCUGUCCUUGUAAUAGAGUUGGGCAGCAGAAAGAGGAGCGUUAUGCUUACUUUGUUCCUACCUUCGGGAUGUGUGGAAACCUGCAUUAAGCUCAGCUCUGGGUGAAAAGGUUUUAUUUCAAAUGCUCAUUUGCAACAUUGCAUGUUUUUAAUGCUGUAUUCCACUACUGUAAAUAUCCUCAUUUCCUGCUACUACCGAGGCAUGCUGGAAGUGGCUUGCAUUCUUUAUGGAAAAUGACUUUACUGGAAAAUAUAUAUUUAGGUUUGAAGCCUUUUUUUAAGUAGGUCAUAAAUUUUUACUACCUAAGCUGAACCAGGAAGUGAUUCUUCAGCUGUGACCCAUGCAUGAGAGUCUGCUGCACUUUGUGAAGAUGUUUAUCUGGCGUUGCUUGGAGACACAACCAGCGUGGCGCCUCUCCUUAUCUAUCUCCAUCGCUUGUUCUUCCUAUCAAAAGAUUUCAAGUACAUGUUUAUCAUCUUUAAUUAUUUUUCCAUCAUGCUUUUUAGCUUCCUUCCGUCUUCCCAUUGGUGACAACUUUGUCGUUGUAGUUAAUGAGAUAUUUGUGCAGUUUUUUCACUUGGGAUUUGUACACAUGUCUAUAAAAGGAUGGCAUACCGAUGGCAACAUUCUCACACAAAAACAUUUGAAAAAAAUAUUCGUUUGAAUGGAGCAAAACUUAAUCAGGAAAUAUUUUCAAGGUGGAUGGCAGGAUCUGUAAAGAUGGUGGAUACAUCCAAAAAAAAAUUAGAGGUCAAUGGAAUGAUCUCAGCUUCACUUAGAAAAAUUGUAAGGUAUUGUUCGCUGUGGGGUUUUUUUGAAAUUUAAUUGUUAAGAAAAGUUUGCAAAAAUACAGUCACCUAAAGCUGCUGGACAUUUGUCCCUCAGUGCAUACGUAUUAGUUGGAUGCAUCACAAAGAGAAUAUACCCUCAGGGAUUAAAUGCACUGUAACUCCAGAUGCUGUUCCAGAGUCACAGUUUAAUCUUGAAGGGACAAGACUGAGUUUAAAGCUUUGUAACACAGGAAGUUUAUAGUAUGCACUAAAGGGAAGACUUGUACACAUGGCAAAAGCACACUGUGUAUGGGAGAGGCUUGCAGUAAGUCACGUUACAUUAAGGGCUUUUUUGGACAACAGAGUGGAAAAGGAACCUGGUAAGUGUCCCAUCUGCAGGAGGUGCUGCAGCGGAACUGGUCAUACAUCUAAACCAACAGUCUCUAAGACAGAAAUCAGUAGGGCAGCAAGAAGUAGAACGAUCUGGCACAGAAUGAUCUGACUCUAUUUCAGACUGCUCUGCAGGCAUGACUUGAAAACUUUACAUUAACUGUAGACACUGAUUGCUGUUCCUUUCUUUGGUGUGACUCGAAUUAGAUACAAUUUUUGGAUAGCUGAGGAUAUCUACAAAACUAAUCUGGAAAGCAGAAGCAUUGUGUAGAUAUGCAGCUGAGUGUCUCCAGUGGUGAAUUGGUGCCUUUCAGAAGUUUUAUACUCUAACCUGUAGAUGAGUAAUUUAUGUCUUACUCAGCUGAAAAACCAAAACUUGCAGAACUCUGCUACAAAUAGAUAAUGGAAGAAUUAAAGGGGUGCGGGAAGGCUAGAGUAUCUGCACAGAACAACACAUCUGAACUGGCAGAAAUAGAAAACCCCUAGAGCAAGGAUUUUGCGGCCGUUCCUGAUCACACUAAGUUUGGUCUCACAGCUGCACUGAAUCUGUAUGGGCAGACAUUUCCCUUAAGCUGCAACAAAUGUGUUGUUGAAGGGCUUGGGUACUCAGGUGUGCUGUCAUACCUGUAAAUUCAUUCCUGCUCUGUUAAGAAAUGUGUGCAUCUGUGAGUGUAUUUAUGAAAAGCAGAGUGUAUUCCCUCAUACAGGGAGGUUUUUGACACUUAUCAAUCAAGUAAUGAUGCUGUUACAUUGUCAACUCAGCAGAAGAACACUGACCAGGGAGAAGCUGUCUGGUCUCUCACAUCAACGUUUUCCUUUCCUCGGAGGAGAUCUGUUUCUUUCUUGCUUAGAGCUUAGUACAGAAAUUAGUUAUGGCAAGAAAAUUUUGAUGAAUAAAAUGAAAUUAUAGAAAAAAAGAUGCUGAGUUUUUUUUCCCUUUGGUUGUGUGUAGGGCAGGCGGAACAUCUAUAUUGUCUUCUAAAACCUGGCAUGUGCUGUGCUUCUUAGGGAUGCACGCAUCUUUUUUUAAUGAAGAUUGUUUAUUACUGUUGUAUGAAACACUGACAAUACGAAGCUCUCUUCUGGUUACUUCAAUCAAUGCCCUCUUAAAAUUGGCUUGUAGUUUAGUACUUCCCUCUCUUUUGUUUGCGACCGGUGGCCGUGGAUAGAUGGCUUGAUGCCUGCAGUGGGUUUCAUGAGCAGAACUGAUGUGGGACUGGGUUUGGUGGGGGAGGGAGGUUGCCUCCCUCCCUCUGCCUGUAAGGGGUCUUUCAUUGUUCAUCACCACACCUGUGAGAUAGGGACCCUGGGACAAAUUCUUACUGUCCAGCAAUGCUCUCACUUGGAAUUUAAUAAACACUUCUGCUGUCACACCUUAAACCAUCUGAGCUCUUUUCUGUUGUAUGUGCGAUCAAAUAUUUAUUCCCAAAUGCUGUACAUCAGAAAGUGCUGCCUUGGAGUAGCGGAGAUCAGUUAUUCAGGUAGUAAAGAUGUGUGAAUGCAGCUGGCAGAUGAAGUCACCAACAUUAUGAAUUCCCAGGCUGUCCUUACUGCCACAGGCAAUAACUGACAGGCCUGAGCGGCCGGCGGUUUCCCGUUACGGGCGCUGGUAGGGCCCGAGGAUCCCAGUGUCAUGGAUACUUGAGCUGCCCUGCUUGAGUGGAGCCGGCCAGCGCUGCGGGGCCUCGCGCAGAGAGCUGUAACCGAUCCGCGCUGGAAUCCUUGACCCGAACCUGUAAUUACCUGGACGGUAUAAAGGUGGUUUGUUGUUGCAGAUAGAGAUUGCGCUCAGAUCCUCCGAGCAUAAUGCUGAGCUUUGAAGCCGGGGAAGAGCUUUGGCCCUUGGUCUGUUCUUCACAGCAAUCGAGAGGUUUUAAUAAUGGUCAUAUAACAAGCUGCUCUUAGGGGGCAUCACCUGCGCAGUAACAAAACACAUGCCCAGCACUGAUGUGUUGUUCUUCUGCACUCUGUCAGCUUAAAUUUAAAUGUGGUGAAGUUAUGGUUCUUUUCUGUAAUGACUGCCAAGCAAAUUCUAUUAAUGAGAUACCUAUUUAGAGCACUUAGUAUGUUUCUCGUUUGAAAAGUGUUUUUUGGAGAAUUUCCAGGAUAAAGUUUGGGAUAUGCUCAGGUUUUCUUUUAGUGGUGAAAUAUCACACGCCUGCAUGUGUGUGUGCUUCCUCCAUGCUAUUUGGCUGCUUCACUAAAUAAGUGUGUGUGUGUGUGUAUGCAUGUGAGCUGCACAGUACAGAAUUCUGGUACUUAGAUUUUUUUCAACUUGAUCUAGUUCAUCUGAUUUGAGAAAAUGUUAUCUGAUGAUUUCUGAAGAGGGCCUUGAGACAGAAGCGAAUUCAUCAGGCUCCAAGAUGCCAGUGCAGUAUACAUGAUUACAUCUAGCAACAGCUAUGCCCUAUAGACUAUGAAGAUGUGAAGAGAAAUUAAAACGACCUGACACUACUGACUGGGCACUUGCUUCUGGAUCGUUGCCUGGCUUGGGAAAAGACUCAGCUGCAGGGAUACAUGGAGUGGCAUUAAUGUCUUGAAACACUGGUGGGUGUUUACUGCAGGCAAGAGGAGUAUACUGAAGAGGAAGUGCAUGGGACAGUGAGCAGCAGCAGAUUUAUUCUAUAGUGAUUUAUUUUUGCCUCUCUCCGGUGGUUAUCGGUAGGUUUGCCUGCCGAUGGCUCUGUGCAGCGUGAUGUGGGACUCUGCCCCAUGCAGGUGACAGGGUUGGCUGCUGCUCCUCAUCCCAGAUUGCCUUGGGUUUUGCUGAGGAGCCUGGUGGCAGCUGGAGCAGUUCAUCUCUUCUAAAGUGGUCGUGCUUUGACGUGUAUGUGUCCAGUAGCUAAAAAAAAGAAAAAAUCCCAGAGGAUUCUCCCAGACAAUAAACCCAGUGCCUUCCAUAUUGCCAUCAUGGCUAGAUGGUAACGUAACUGUGACCUAAGCAGUGUACAAACCAGGUACUGGAUAAUGGGAGUUUUCUUCAUCUAUGGAGAUGAGUCGCAGCGAGGCCUCCGGGGAUUACGUUAAUGGUCAUUGGUGCAGUCCUCUGCCACUCGAAGACAGUUGUUCUCAUGUCACACAACCCGCCUGAUGCGUGUUCCAGCGGUCCAUUAAUGCAGACAGCAGAGUGUCUUAUUGCUUAAGUGUUACAUACUGACUUCCAGCUGGGAAAGCCACCUUCAGUUCAUAUAAUGGCUUGUCAGCUGAAAAAUAGUGUGCUAGAGCACGCUCUGUUCCAAGCAUACAAAUGCCUCUUGUUUAUCUAUGGGGAAAAAAAUCCAAAAUGCACAGUAGUAUUUUGCAUAUCAGUAGCUAAAGCACACUCAUUCAAAAUAUAAGUUUGCCUUAUAUACCCUUUUAUCGUCCUUCAUUAACAGUUGUUGUUAGUGUUUUGCACAGAUAGCUUUAAAGCUCAGAGUAAGUGGAAAGUGUUGAUUCUAAUCAUAUCUGACACCACAAUCUUCUGUGGAACAACACAUGAGCUGAGAGUCCCGAUGGGCUCCUGUAGGAUACAAUAUUUAUUAUAGCUUGAGAUCUGAGAGCUCCUAGCUACUGUUAAACUUACUACAGAUCCAGAAACCUCAGUGUCUGUGCUUGUGUUUUUAUAGCUUGCACAGAAAUAACGCACUGCACUGUACAGCGUUGGCAAAGAAGCGUGAUCAUUGACAUUUCUGUUCCUUUUAUAUAGUGCUUAGAGAGAUAAUUUUGUGAAUCUUAAUAAGUCAGUGUUGCAUUAUAUGCUCAUCUGUUCAUCUAGAGUGUUUGAAAUGUUCUUAAAACGUUACUAGAUGUGCAAGUUAAAAGGUGAAUAUUUGACCAUCCAUUUGCAAAUGAAUUUUAGAGUCAGGAUUUUUCAGGCAGAGCUUUCGUUUAGCAAAUUUUCCAGUUUAUGAUAAGGAGGGAGAGCACAGAACAUCAGCCCCUGUCCUCAGGGCUCUGGGGGCUCUUUCUUUUGUCUUCCAGCUUCCCCCUGCCUGUCAGACACCCAGAGGCUUGGUGUCCGUGGCCCUGGAGCACAGCACCUGCCUCAACACUGCAUUGAUUGUGCUGGUCUCUUCAGAGCAACUAAAUCUGUAGGUGUAUGACUGGGUGUGAAGCAGUCUUCAAGAAUGCUUUUUGGGGUUUAUUUUUUUUAAAGAGGAUUGGGAGUGGUGGGGCAGCUGCUGAGCAAUGUCUGCUGGUUUCAUACUCGUUCCUAAUUUCUUUUUUUUUUCAGUUCUUCAUUAGAAGGCAAAAAUGCACCAAUUUUCACCACUGUUAUUCCAAAAUUAGCUUUUGCUCAUUAGAGUGUAAUACAGAUGUGUGAGCAGAAGCGUGCAUGAGUUUAGUUAUAUGCCAUAUAAAACCGAGCUGUUGGGUGUGAUAAAUUAGCCAGGUGAUUGGUGUGUCCUUAAAGUGAGUUUAAUACGUUGAGGGUGUGUUAAUCACUGCCUCCUCACUGUCUUCUCCUUGCAGGAAUAGGGAUGUCCUCUGCUGGAAAUAAAUAUUUAUAUCUAGGUUGAAAUAUAGUCAGUUGAUAUGUACUUGUAUAUAUAUUUUAUUGCCUCAGUGACGUAAGGAGUGAAAAAACAGAUGGAAAAUAUUUUGUUUUUCUUAAUUAUCCAAUGCUGUGAAAUACCCAUCGGCUUGCAGCCGCCUUGGCUCCUCCCCCUGCCUUGGCCUCCAUCCCUGGCGUGAUCCCAGCCCAUAUUUAAUAGUGCUUUAUCCUCUGCUUGUGCUGCAUUUAACUUUCACUUUUUAUUAGAACAAAAGCUAAAUUGGGUGCUGGUUAGCACUGGGGCUAUGGGUGGAGAGCUGCAAAAAAACAGAGCUGGUGCCAGCAAGCGGCUGCUGCAGAGCGGCCAACAUUGGGUGAGCCUCGCUGGGAGCAGGGGAAGGAGCCCAGGCGAGUCCCUGUCCUCUUCUUGUCCCUGUCUGCAAGUGGGGAUCUGCUGGCGGUGCCCCCAGCUGCAGGCACCGCUGAGUGCUGGGGACAGCCUGCCCAGGGCUCGGCUGCCGCGAGAAGGAUGCGGAAUGCUGGAGGGAGCGUGGGGAGCCAAGUACUGCAUGCACACACGUAAGGCGUGUGGUGCUGUUCCCCUUGUGAAGGUGAAAACAAGCAGGUCACAGUUAGUAAAUGACAGAAAGCAGACUUGGGAUUAUUCACAUCAUUAGCACAGGAUUUCUCCAGAUAAGAGAAAUGGGAUAUGAGCCUGUACUGCCCUGAGGCUGCCUUCGGUUUACUGCGCAGGGCGUCGUCCUUUAAAAUGGAGCGAGAGCAGGGAAAAGAAAAAGGUGGUAAUAUGACUAACAUAUGGUUUUCUCUGGAGUUCAGCCACAGAUUUUAAGGCCUUGGAGUGGAUUCCUCAGGCCUUCGUAUGCUAUCCCAAAACCAACACAAAAGCCUUUCCAAAUACGUUUUAUAAGCUCUGUGAUUGUAAUAGUCCUCCUAUCCAAAAUCCCAUGUCCCCGGGUCGAGCAGGGCGCAGGCCUUUCUCUUCUGCAAUCCCAGGCUUGCCAAGUCUCCUUGCCUGGUGUUUCCCUCCAGCAGCAACGGGCAGCCAUUUGUGUCUGAUGUGCAGAGUAGCUGUGGGGCUGUCCAGCACAGCUGCUUUCCCUUGAGCUCACAUCUGCUCAGAGCGAGUGGGACCUCCAUGUGCUCGCUUACCCGGGCUUUUGUCCUAGAUGCAGCUGGCCCUGGCUGUGUACAGCCCACCUGUAUUUCUGGAUAAUUCAUAGAAUUUGCUAGGCAGUGGCACAGAGGCCCGGUGCUUGCUCAUGAGUAUCUGAUUGGGUUUGAGCAUUAGUUUUGAUGACCGGCUGCUGUCACGGUCUCUGUUUUACUUUUCCGUUUGCUGAGUUAUGGUACCAUUAAUGAGAGAAAAAUGCAACGCAGGAAAUGCACACUCUGCAGUUCAUUGCCUCUUGUUAUUAGGACUGGUUUCUGGUCCUGACUGUACUGCUCCAGGAAGGGAAGCCUCCGGGAAGACUGAAGCAGUAGAAGCCACAGGUGCAGUAAAGAUCUUGCUAGCUCUUUACCUCUUCAAGUUUUUACCUGUGUUAUCUACAGCACGAGUGGUGAGCGAUUUAGUGAGUGUUACACUGUUUGACUGUCAGUUAAAAUAUGCUUUGAACGUGUAACAUUCUCUGAAUAUAUUUGUGAUUGAACGUUAAAUUCUGUAAUUGACCAUAGAUCAUCUAUGAGGUUGGUUGUGUUCUUUGUGAUAUUUUUUUAACAAACUGAAAGUUGCCAUGAAGGAGAGAAAAGGAGAUACUGUUGUGCUAGUCUUUGCUUUGUUUGUGUGGGUUUUUUCUCCUUCUUGAGCCUUAAAAAUGCAAGCGAGCAAGCAAGCAACCAAAUAAAACCCAGCAACAAACAGGAUGCAGUGGAAGUCUUGCAUGGAAGGACAUUUUGCCACUGAAGUUAGAUAAAAAAUUCACUAUAUCAUAAGCGAACCAUUUCCCCCUUGAUUUGCCUCCAAAAUAUGAGGAAAAACAUUGCAGAUGCAUUAUGCAUUUUACAAAAGAACAUAUGCACGCAUUUAAAUCAUUUACAUUUCAUCUUUGCUUUCUCUUAUUUUUAACCCAUAUUAUAGUGAGUGACAGCAUGUUUGGAAAACCAAGGCUGAAAGCAGAGCUUAAACUUUCAUGCCCAGUAAGUUAAACUGCAAGCAGUGCUUCACUAUUUCAUGAUUUUAUUUCAAAGUUUUGCUUUCUCUCCACUGAAACCCGUGACUGAAAGUUUGAGAGUCUGUGGCUUGUGAAUAAAGAUGAUGUGCACACGGUGUGUGCUGGUCCUGCAGAGCCUGCGAAGCAGGAGCCCAUCCUCGCUGAAGGAAGAUACGUAAGUUUGUGCCUGAGGAUGUUCUGCAUCAGGGCUCAGUGAGGCUGUUAGUGGUUCAGUUGUUAGUAUCGAGCCCUCCACAUGCUAUAAAAUCCUUUUCAGUAGGGGGGUGAGGAGGGCAGCAGCUCUGUGAUGCAGCACCUCAACAUGGCUGGUUUCCAGCACUGCCCUGCUGUGUGUUCAGGCAGCAGCUUCUGACUGCCCUGCUUACAGAGCUGGUAGGUGAAAAAGAAUUGCAGUCACGGACGUGGUGUUUUGGUUAAUGGCAUCAGCAAGCACCACUUCCCCCAUUGCUAUGAGCGGACAAAUAAAAUUCAGCUCUAUUGGCCUAGUUGUGGCUGUUUAAUCACACUUCAGUGCAAGACUGUGCAUGCCAUGAAGUGCUGAUCGUGCGCUCUGCAGCGAUGCAGUGUGGCGAGGAGCGAUGAUCCCAUCAGCUGCCUGGCAGCCUGGGGGCAGGUGAGCGCGGGCGCGUGGCCAUGCUCGCUGCUGCCUUGUGGCCUUCCCUGUGGCCUGGCCUGUGCUCUCCUGGCCUGGCUCCUUGCAGAGCUGUGCAGAAGCCUCAGCACCAAUGUCUCCAUCUCUGGUGGGAACAGGAGCACCCUGGUAGGACUAGGGGUUCAGUGAGAGUCUGGGACUUACGGAAGUUGUGUGUUUGGUAAUGUAGAUUUGAAAGUUAGACACUUACACACCUCCUGACAGCUUGUAGAAAUUUUUCCUCAUUGUCUUCACCUUCUUGUGAAGAGUCAAACCCAGAGCUCUUCAACUAUUUUUCUAGUAAAGGAUUGACUUAGAAUUGUGGACAUGAUUGGGAGGACCUGUAAGUUGCUUGUGUAUCCAUCCUUCCACACUUAAAGCCAAGACGUGAAAGUGGAGAGGUUAAAAAAAUAUUGCUGAUACUGAAGCAAUUAUAUUUGGAGAACAUACGCUUUGGUUUUACAUUUCUGCUUCUAAAAGGUGCCAUUUCCCGUGUUUGUCAUUUAAUUUAACAUUCUAUAUAUUUUUAAACGGCUGUAUGAUUUGAAAUCUCCAGAUGCGAUGCUUUAUGCUAAAUGAGGUUGACAGUUCAGUGAUGUGGAAGGCCAUUAUCUCACCUUUGUGCUUCUAAACUAUAGCCACUUGCCUUUGUCUGUUCAUAAUGCAUUUAUUGCAUUACAGCAUAGGAAUUUUUAACACCUAUUGAAAGCAUGAAGUAUGCCAUACCGAUGAGCACUUUAAGAUGAGCAAAAAACCAGAACUGAUCGUGUUCUUCAAGUUUGUUUUUCUCCCAUUGCCUGCAGUGGGGACUCCUUACAUGGCUGAUGAACUCCAGUAAUAAAAGUGGACUGGAAACAGUCUGUUACAUAUUGCUGAAAUCUCAAAUUUCACAAUGGGCAACAAUUUCCUGUGUUAACUACCAUGGGCUGAGGUGUUAUCUUUAAGGUGGCACUGCAGGGCAAGUGCCUGGUGGCCCUCUGCUAGCUGGGUGAGAUGUUCCUCAGCUGAUCGAGGGCUUCCAGGCCACGCCAUGGGAAGACCCCAGAGUUUUCAAGCACACGGUGGGGUGAUUUCCAUAAAUCCUCUGGUCACUCCUGGUAUGGCUAAUGUAUCCUAAAAGACUGUGAUUUGGUUUAAAAAAAAGAAAAAAGUGUGAUUUUAGGAUAAGAUAGUAACAUUGUAGAUGAUUACCUUGAGGUUAAUUGACUCAAAGCUACUACUCUCAUUUUAACUGGAUUUAUUAAUACUAUACGUCCUCAUCUGAUGUAUAUUUAUUUGUGAAAGGAAUUCAUGUAUUUUCACAAGCUUUACAUGUAAGAACCUGCACAAAGCCUGAGCGGCUAAGAAGAUGAAGAGAUAUAUUUUUUUUGUUCUAAAGAGUCCAAGAUGUUCCAUUUUGAUGUUUGGGGACUGAUACGAUCCCAUUCCCACAAACUGGCAUCCCUCUGGGAAGGUACCAUUUCCAUUUGUUUCCUCCCCUCAGAGGGAAAUUGGCUCCCUGUCCUCAGGUUGUCAUGGGAUAACGUAAUGGGAUAAGGGGUAUACCUGGAGAAAUGAAGACCUUUCUCCCAGCUGCCCUCCGUGGUGAGCCCCACUGGCCUCAGUGCCACGCUACAAACCAGUGACCCAGAAUUCAGGCUUUUGUGUCCUAUGGCUGUUGUCCUGAGUCAGCAGGUCUCCUAUCGAAUCAUUUUUCUACAAACAUGGAAAAUGGAUAAUCAUUACUUGGUCUGUUAGAGCUCAGUAAUACAAGAAUAGGUCAUAAAAAUGUCACUUGUGUCUUAAAACCUAACCAGCUAGGAACUCUCCCUCUUGUCUAGUCUGGCCUGCAGUGCCUUUGAUCACUGUUUUCUCCUCUUCCUUGGUACCCCAGCUAACUUCAUAGUUUUCCCCUUUUUCCUUUGCCGUUGUGACAGUGCUCUGCUGCAGAUUACAGCUGUGCUCAGGCACCAUAAGGUUUAUAUGAUUAGUCAGCAUUUGGUUUCCAUAUAUAGCAAAAGUGCGUCUGGAGAAAAUAUUCUUAUACAUAUUUCCAGGCAGUAGGAUCAAAGAGCUCUCUAGGUUCUCAGUUUUAAUUUAUCUCUUCGUGCUCGCUGUAUAAGGAACAUCAAAAAGAAUCCGUGUUUGCAGGAGGGAAGGGAGGGAGCCCUUUGCUGUGUAGCUGUGGGAGCGCCGCUCACCCAGGCCAGCCUCCAAUCCUAGCCUUUGUCCUCGGUGGCAUUGCUGAGAUGCGAACUUGGUUUUUCAUGCCUCCGUGUUCUGUGCAGGCACCACUCCUUUCUGUUCUUGAGUCCUGUGACCUUUCCCGUUCUUGUUUCCCCGAUGCUCCUUUGGCCCCGGCCGCUGAGCUCCCGUUCCUCCGUUGCAGCAUUUCCCAUGGCUCUCCAUCCCCACGUUGGCUCCUCUCCUGCCGUAACACGUGCCACAUUCGUAUGGUUACAUCUCAUCCUCUGAAUGCUUGUUCCAUCUCACUUUUGUCAUCUCAGUGAUUACCCCUCAUACUCAUAAUAUCUCUCAGUAUUUGCUUCUACUCGAGAAGCUCAUCCUUCAGGUGUCAGCUCCCCAAGCAUGCCAGGCCUCUCUGAGACUCUGCAUCUGCCAGGAUGUGCGGCAGAUAACCCACCGUGCUUGGAGGGAAUCUGCCGUGAGCUGGGGGGGCUGUGUUGUCGUACUGGGGGCUCUAUUCAUGUCAAGUUUUCUUGCACCUCAAUUAGAUCCUUAUUUUCUGUAUCUUUUAUUAGAUUUGCAAGGCAGCACUUUGUAAACUUUUGUGGUUUACACGGCAGCAUGGUCGCUGCUGGGGACAGGCAUACACUGUUAUUAAAUAAGCAGUGUACUUCAAUCCUACCAAUCCCUGUGGCAUUUUUGUAUGAGUAAAUAUUCUGAAAUAUUAGUAUAUAACAAUGUGCCAAGACAUCUGAGACUUUUUUACGUCACAUUCUUAGAAAAGUCUUUUUUUUUUCCCUGCUGAUAGAAGAUCUGCAUUAAAAAAAUGUAAUGGUUUGAUUUCAGUCAUCCACUCAGCAUUUCUGAGCUACUUGCCAAAUGAUCCCAGGUGUGGGAUUGCAGCAGGUAAUUUCCUGCGCUGUAUUUGCGCGGAUGAUUUUCUGUGUUAGAAGAUGAUAUCGGCUCACCUGGCCUCUCAGUGACAGAGAAAUCCUUUGUUUAUUCAUUUAGUAGGCAGAUUAACCCUAAUGAAUAUGGCUUCCUGGAAAUAGAUACAGGGGACAAUAGCAAAGUGAGGAGUGGGGAGAAAUGGGGCAAAUUCCCUUUUCUUUCUUCACUUGUAAAUAAUGGUAGCUUUCAUGGCAAAGUGUUUUAAACGAGAAAGGAACGUGAAAUAUGUCAACCAGAAAUUCUUGAUUUUAAACACAAAUCCUUUCUUUUACGGUUCAGGAAGGUGCUGGGGAUUUCAUAGCAAGUCUGGUGCAGUUGUACUGCGUUGAAUCUGGUUGGAUGUUUUCCCAUGUCAGAAAGUAGAUGAAGCAGGCAUGCCUGAGACCUCGCACAGAGUGCUGCUUAAGUCCUCCCCGGUGGAGGAUGCGAGCGCGUGUCUCACGUGGCUGCUCUUCGCUGUUUUGUGGAAGACCUGUUGGGUUUUGCGUUUUGUGAAUUAGCGGUUAGCGAUAAAAUCUUCCUUCAAAGGCAUCGUAAGUUUUACUAGGUGAAUGGAGAAAGGUGUUAACUGUAAUGGCUUAAAUUAUUUCCGUCUAUUUCUUUUUGUUUCUUAGGAGCAAAAAGUCUGGACGGACGUGUCAACAAGUACGCUGUGUCUGCUGUCUGAGCAGCUGGGCUAUAGAAGAAGGCUGUGUUCAGACAAGGGUCACGCUGUACUUUUUUUUUCCCAGUCAUUCUCUUAUCUUGAGUUGACACAGAAAGCUUCUUGAAAGCCAUUCAUACAGUGCGGCUCGUUGUGUGCCAGCAGUAGGAUGCGUGCGUGUCUUCCGCACGCGGUCUGUCCGAGCCAUAUGAAAGGCUGCGCCAUCGUCAGUUUUAUUUAAAUAAAUGAGUGGGUUAAGUGAUGCUGCUGAUGUGACACUGGACUGUAGUUCCUAACAGUGCUGGAAUCUGCCUGGAAGGGUGCUCAGUGUGGAUGCAGAGCCCUGAGAAGCCGAGGGAAAGGCGGUCACUGGCUUCGAGGGGUAUAAGUGAGGCUCAGCAGUUAGCGUGGUGCUGUCACGCGCAGGUUCGCUGCGGUAUCGCUCCGUCUGUUAGAACAGUGUGAGUGAAUUAUUCAAGCUCGGAGUGAAUAAUGCAACGAUGAAUUAAGUUGUGUGCGUGUUAGUAUAUGUGUAUGUUUUUAUGUAUGCACACGGAAUAGUUCAUAUUUUAAAUGAGGGAAAAACGCUGUGGUUUGCUAACUCAGAUCGCUGUUACAAGCUACUGGUCAAAGUGUAGACAUAAGUACAAUGAAUGGUUUUGCUGUGUUUGUGAGAGGAGCAAUUUCUUGCAUUUUUAUGUGACUGGUACUUGAGAUACAUUAUUCCCAAGACAUGAAUGUGUAGACACAGAUGUGAAAAUCUCUUAACUUCCAGCCAAACUUUUCCAGAUCUUAUCACUAUAAUUUAUUCUUUACUCUCUGUAGACUAGAAAAAUGUCUUCUUUCACAUAACUUUAUACAUCGGAGGAAAAGGAAAGUUCUCUCCUACCACAUGCGAAGUGUUGAAGAUAGGAUACUGUUGGCUUUAGCGUGCUGACUUUUGUAGUCGCCUGUAAAAGCUCCAGAGCUUCAGAAGGGAAGUGAAAAACCAGAAUUUACCUUUCCGUGAAGAAUACAAGUUUCCAUUGUUUCUGACUUACCCUGCUGGAAGUAUAAAUGUGCAGGAACAGAUAAUUUUUUGAAAGUAUACAUUUAUAUAUGGGUGUGUAUGCGUGUAUGGGGCAGCAAUAAAUUACAAAUGAAUUUGUUUGCUUUGUGUGGCGAUUGUUUCAUCCUUCUUAAAGCUACUAUUUACAUAACCUUUAACCAAACGGAGAGUAGCCAAAGCAUUGUCAAGAGUGGGAAUUGUUUUUCUGGCUGGUGCUCGUGACAACUCAGUUCCCUGCAGUUGUGUGGCACAGCGUGUGCUCCUGCUGUGCGGUAACUGACCGUGUUGAGAUGCGGACAACUUGCCAAAGUUUUUCUUUUCUGCACGUUAGAGCUCAAAAUAGAUGUGUGUCACAUUAGAUGUCAUUAGAAUAGUGCUUGUGAUAACUAAAUAAUAGAUUUAAUACUAAGUAAUUAUCUUCAAAGAUGUCGCCACGGUUGCAAAAGAAGAACGUCACAAAUUGCCUUUUGAAACAGUGUAGACUGUCUGCAUUAGCAGGGUUUUUUUUUCCCUUUAGCAAAAACCAAAGGACAACAGUCAUUAUACGAUUCUGUACUUUAAGUAUUUUCAUAAUCCAACAUAAAUUGGCCCACCCAAGGAUUAUGUCUGUCUUAUAAGGAUGUGUUUAUAUAGUCAUUGGGUGAAAGAUUGCAGAAGUUGAACCACUAGUUUUGAAAGCCGAGCCAGACCAGGAAAAAUCAGGAUACAAUUUGGCACUUAUGGAGACUAAAUGAUUUCCUUUUUAGCUGCUGAUUUCUACUGGGAAAUGUAUCCUUGGACUGAAAAUUGCAUCCGGAAAAAUGUUUAUGUAGUGUUUUUCAAAUGACUGAUUAUUCCUCUAACCUUUAACACGCACUGUGUGUGAUUUUUGUUCCUUAUUAACUCUUUCACAACCAAAGGAAUGACUUCCUUCACUGUAAGUAAAAUUAAGUGUAUAUUUCACAUCAUGCAAUAUUUUAAUGCUGUAAUGACACAAAAGAAGACAAGCCAGGGAUUUUAUUGAGUCAGUAGCACUGGGAAAUCCGGCUCAUCUUCUCUGUCAGGCUUUCCUGGAAGAUGCGUGUCCCCACACGACAGCGAGUCAGACAGAGCACAGUGACAUUUUAUCCUGAUUACUGCAGAGAAGGAGAGCAAAAAUGUUCUUAACAUACCAUUAGAUGCAGUUUUCUGCUGGCCAGGGGAGAUUUCCCCAGGGUGUGUGUCUGAGGUAGGAGGAACGUGCUGCCAACUACUGGCUGUUGCUUGCUGCUGAAUGCUGUGCAUUAACUCAGGGUGGGCUUGGGGUUUAUUUGGGGGGCUGACUGAUUGGUGCAGCUUUAACAAAGCAGGCAGAUUCAGAGUAGCUCCACAGAUGAAUGCUGUUUGGAGUUAAAAUGAUUUCAGUGGUGUCUUUUUCACGUAAAGACACGCCAUAACUCACUAUGAUCCCUCUAGCUGGUAUCCUUGCAUAGAACAUAUUUGUGUUUGGUUUUCUCCUACAUCCAGAACCUCAGUGAUGCAGGAUGUGAAUCUGCAUGCAGGCUGUUGUAAUCCUUGCCUGGGCUGGGUUUAGUGCAAGUGGCUGACCACGCUGCCCAUAGCAGAGCGAGGAAGCUGCCGGUGACCUCGUGAAGCCACGUGUCAUUAAAAGGCAUUCCAGGCGAUGUGCACGGAGCGAAUCGCACACUAAUAAAUGGACAUGUCUGCAGCAUUGUUUUAUCAUGGCUGAGCUGACUGUGAAUCAUGGUACGUGUUUUCCUAUGUAAAAACAUGCAGAAUUUCAAGAUGCAUUGAAGUAGUUCUGCAAAAAAUAUCACCCAGCCCAUCACAAGUAAAGUACUCAGUAAAAAUCGCAAGAGUGGAAAUGGGGACGUUAAGACAAGCAUAGCAAAGAUAGUUUUAUAAUGGCUGUUCCUGAUGGUCUCGUCUAAAAGGACAGGUUUGUAUCCUGAGAGAGGAAGCGGAGUUGGAGAGAAACGAAAUUCCAGUCCCACGGAUCCCGAUGAGUACGGGCAGAGAUGUUCACUUCUGCAGCCUCACUGGGCCCCGUGCCGGUAGCACUGAUGAUCGCAGGGUGAUGGUGAUGGUCUGUCCUUCUGACAUCAGCUGGGGAGCAGACGGUGAAAGACGAAAGCUGCUGUUACACAUGGCAGCAGUAGUCAUCGUUCCUGCCCUGGUGGGGUAAAGGGAGAACGUCUGGCAGCUGCCAUUUUCUUUCAUUUCUCCUUCCAGUUCUUUUUGAUCAUUUCUCCUGCAGCUUUGCUUUCAUGCACAUCAAGGAAGAUCUGUAUUUAUAAGCAAACAGAGGAUGCAGCCCCGCUUGCCUCAGAUAUCUUCUACCAGGAGCAGCAAUUCCCAGGCAGUCCCUUUCAUUUGAGGUAAUAAUGGUUUUAGGAAAUACGCAGAAUGUGUAACAGUCAAAUGUCUUUUAGCCGCCUAUUGAUGGAGUGAAAUUUGGCAGAUGACAGGGAACCUUUCAUUUUAUUCCUGAAGUCUAAAUAGCUUGACAGCUGUGCAGAGUCCCCUGAAUUUACGAGAGCUGAAUGUUGGGGUUUGGGGUUUUUUUCAUGUGGAACCCAGCAGAGACUCUGACGGAAACUGUUGACCCUUCUUUGUGCUGUUUCUUCACUGUCUCGUCAAACAUCUGGAAAGCAGCAUGUUUGCAGUCAUUUCACAACAUAAUUUUGCAUUUACAUCAUGUGUUAUCUGGUAAAAGUUUUCUUGUUUUUUCAAGGAAAAAAAAAAAGGAAAAGAAAAAUCAGCAACUCGAAGGCUGCCAUAAGGUCAAGUGGUGACGGUGGAUGCUGCCUGUA